GAUGAACGCUGGCGGCGUGCCUAAUACAUGCAAGUCGAGCGAACGGACGAGAAGCUCGCUUCUCUGAUGUUAGCGGCGGACGGGUGAGUAACACGUGGAUAACCUACCUAUAAGACUGGGAUAACUUCGGGAAACCGGAGCUAAUACCGGAUAAUAUUUUGAACCGCAUGGUUCAAAAGUGAAAGACGGUCUUGCUGUCACUUAUAGAUGGAUCCGCGCUGCAUUAGCUAGUUGGUAAGGUAACGGCUUACCAAGGCAACGAUGCAUAGCCGACCUGAGAGGGUGAUCGGCCACACUGGAACUGAGACACGGUCCAGACUCCUACGGGAGGCAACAGUAGGGAAUCUUCCGCAAUGGGCGAAAGCCUGACGGAGCAACGCCGCGUGAGUGAUGAAGGUCUUCGGAUCGUAAAACUCUGUUAUUAGGGAAGAACAUAUGUGUAAGUAACUGUGCACAUCUUGACGGUACCUAAUCAGAAAGCCACGGCUAACUACGUG
rnacentral:rRNA from 1 species